rnacentral:rRNA from 1 species
UGGUUAAAAAGCUCGUAGUUGGAUCUCGGCGGUCUGAGGGCGGUUCGCUUGAUUGAGUGCUACUGCUCUAUAGGCCGUGGUUUUGCCAGAGGUCUCGGGGUGCUCUUAACCGAGUGUCCUGCGAUGCUGGCAGGUUUACUUUGAAAAAAUUAGAGUGCUCAAAGCAGGCUUUUACGCCUGAAUAUUCGUGCAUGGAAUAAUAGAAUAGGAAGUCGUUUCUAUUUUGUUGGUUUUCGGAAAUCGACUUAAUGAUUAAUAGGGACAGUCGGGGGCAUUUGUAUUCAAACGACAGAGGUGAAAUUCUUGGACCGUUUGAAGACAAACUACUGCGAAAGCAUUUGCCAAGAAUGUUUUCAUUAAUCAAGAACGAAAGUUAGAGGUUCGAAGGCGAUUAGAUACCGCCCUAGUUCUAACCAUAAACGAUGCCAGCUAGCGAUCUGCCGACGUUUUCUUUGUAGACUCGGCAGGAAGCUUCCGGGAAACCAAAGCAUUUGGGUUCCAGGGGAAGUAUGGUUGCAAAGCUGAAACUUAAAGGAAUUGACGGAAGGGCACCACCAGGAGUGGAGCCUGUGGCUUAAUUUGACUCAACACGGGAAAUCUCACCAGGCCCGGACACUGGAAGGAUUGACAGAUUGAUAGCUCUUUCUUGA